GGGAAGCGGCCGCCGCGGAGCCGGCGUCCGCAGCGGCUGCGCAUCUCGGGCCUGCAACGGGGCGCUUGGCGGGCGGGGCCGGGGGGGAGCCGGUUUGCGCAGUACCCCCGGAGGGAGGAAGGCCACCGAGAGAAACAGCAAGUGACAGAGCAGAGGAACGGCUGACCCAGCCAAUCCUGGAGCUGCUGCUGCAGCACUUGUUCCCCAAACAAGUGCUCCUACAUUCUGAGGACUCAGGAGAGCGCAGCUUGCUCUGUGAGUGGGUGACAACCUCUUGGCGACUCAGGCUCAGCUGAGGAUGGUGCCAGUGUGCCGGAGACAGCCAUCAUACUGCCGGAUAGAGUGGCUCACUUGCAUGUAUUUGGAACAAAAAAAGGAGAUGCCUGGCAGCCCCGCUCUCUGCAGUGCUGUUGAGCCACCAAUUUUUGUGGUUUUGUGACCACAAGUGCUGACUGAUGUCACAUGACUCCAGUCUUGUCAGUGAAUCAUCACCAGGCUGCUUACUGGAAACUGGAUGCAGCAAGGAUAUAGGAUUUAACCACUCUCUGCCUCCCAGGAGCCCCGAAAUCAGCAUUCCCAGAGGAAAGAAGAUGGCCAUCUGGGCUUGGCUUCCGGCUCCCCCCAUCUGGCUGGAACACACAUCAGUCACGUAAGUAGCUGUGACUCAGCACCCAGCGCUGCCUUGGCAGAACCUUCCCACGUUCUGGAUUUGCACACAGUGUGGUAGCGCAGUACAAGCAAGCAGGGUUAGGCAACUGGGGGCCAGUGUCUGUUUGUUCAGUGGGUUUGCUUGUAGAUUUCAGAAACGAGGAUUCCUUCACCUUCUGUUUUCCUCCAGUGUUAUUUUUUAGGUACCAUGCUAGGCUUUAAAGACAAAGCAUCAUUUACAGAAUGAAGCAGAAGCUAUCUUUGCAUCUCCAAACUGUUUUUAACCAACAGCCUAUAGAUUGUAUUUAACCCUCAGAUGUGUUUGGCCUGCACGGGUUUUGGUUUUGGUUUUGGUUUGAGACAGGGUUUCACUCUGUAGCCCAGGCUGGAGCGCAGUGGCACAAUAUCAGCUUGCUGCAACCUCUGCCUGCCAGGCUCAAGCAGUUCUCAUGCCUCAGCCUCCUGAGUAGCUGGGACUACAGGUGUGUGCCAUCACACCUGGCUAGGGUUAUUUUAAUGUAUCUGAUUUUGCAUGCAUUUAGACAAAAUAUGGCCUCUCCAGGACACUGUAUUUCUGCUGCCUGCUGUUACCACUUCUCUGUCUCAGGUUUCCUGCCCAAGCCCUCUGAGCAGCCUACCUCAGCCUCCUCUCUUUACAUGUGAAGACACUGAGGCCCAUUCAGGGCAAGUGGCAGGUCCCUGUUCUCAGAGUUGGGGCCAAGCAGGUAUUAAAACCAUUGUGUUCUGAUUCUCUGUGUGCCCAGGCAGAUGAAUGCCCUGGUGUGAGGUGGAGAAGCCUCCAGGUAGAAUGUGGGGACAGAAAUGGACCAGGCUGGAGUAUAGCUCCCACACCUUUUCCCUGCAUGGCAGCACUCACAAGACUGACAUACCCACCCUUCUGGGUGGGUGGUUUUCCUCCCCAGACAGCCGUGCCAACCCUUUCACCUUCGGCCAGUUUGUUUGGAGUCAUUAGGCUGAGGUGGGUAAAACCCGUCACCCUCCUUGGAUGGCAGCAGGCUGGAGUUUUCAUGGGCUGCCUUCUUACAGGUCUAGGUGGCCUUCAGGCAUGGUGCCAAGGAGAGCAAGCCCCUUCCAGCCCUUGUCAAACUAACUGGCUGCUUCCUAGUAGGGAACAGCCACCAGCUUGUUUCAGCGAAGAGUCAUUGCUCAGCUAACUCUGAGAGGAGAAAACUGGUUCUGUUGGGAGGGCUGAGACGUGAAGGGCCCCUUUUAUCCAGUGGAAUUGGAAAGGCAAAGGAUUUCAAUACGUGAUUUUUCCUCCACUUCUUUUACAGUGUUUAAUUAAAGUGAUGCGUUGUUAAUGACUUCUUAUCUCUUCUUCCAGAGAGUUAAGAGUUAAAUUUUAGAAUCCAGGAGCGGGGACCCAGACUCGGGCUUCUGUUAACUCCCUCAGUGGCAGUGGCCCCCUGCUAUGCACAGCCCCUCUGCUGGACUUCGAAUGGUCCCUUACGGGUAGCAGGAGAGACGUUAAAUAAUCACACUGAUGACCAAGUGAGAUAAGUGGCUACUGAAGGAAAGAACUUGAGGCUGGCAAGGACCACUUAACCUUCUAGCAAGCCGGGUUAGACUCAGGGAGGCUUUCCUGAGCUGAGGGGAGGAUGACUGAAGUUCCCUGGAGUGGUGAUGGGUGGGGGCGGAGCUGAGGGGUGGUAGCUAAGGGAGGGUGAAGGAGAGUAUUCCAGAAGAGACAACAGCUUAAGCAGGGCCUUGCAAUGGAGGGAAGUGCUUUCUGAUCACCGCGGAACACCUGUGUGAGGGCUCAUAGGAGGGGGUUUGUGGAUACUGGUAACUAGAAUUUGAUAAGGAAGGGUGGCUAAAAUGAAAAGCGGAAAAGUGAGAAUCUCAUCAAAUCCUCUCAUUUUACAGGAUUUGGACUCUCAGUAAUAACUGUCCUUAAACACUCACUCCUGACCUUACAACCCUGGCUGUUAACCUGGUUAACAAGCCCCAGGUGUUGGCUGCAGUUGUCAUCACUGAGAGCCCUUGUGUGCAUAUCUGCCCCGGCUCUCCCACCUGUGACUGAGGCUGGCAAGUCCCACCAUGGGCCGUAGAGCCUAGCGCUGGUGUCAGAAUCGCUUGUUGUAGGUUCAUCUUUAGCGUCUUUCCCACAGCCACAGCCAUGCUGGGGAAAGACGGCAGAGGAGCUAGAGGAGCAGGAGAACAAAGCAAGCUGCCUCAGACCACCCAGGCUUUCGCAGAACCCAGAUCGUGCUCCUGUCUCUGCCUAAGUAUAACGUGUUAUGUAGUCAGUAUGAUCCCAAUCAGUGCAGAAGUAUCACCUAGGAAUUUCCUACCCCACCCACCCUAUUUUGUUCUUAAUGAAGUUCAAGAACAAAAUGAGAUGAUAGUCAAGUUAUGGAGCAGGCUGCAGUGGGUACAAGGGAGGAAACGCAGUCUUUGGAGUUAGACCUGGGAUCUGCAUUUAUUGGUUGUGUGACUGCAGACAAGUUAUUUAGCCUCAUUAAGGAUGAAUUUCUUCUGCAAAAAUUGGAAAAAUACCUGCCCCAUAUGACUGUUGUGAGAAUUAAAUACCACAACUUUUGAUGUUCAAAUUCUAUUUCUUACUUCUCCUUCUAGCAACACAUACUGUUAGUUCCAGGAACCAUAAAAAUUAUAAGCCUGUAUCUGGAGGCCAGAAUAAUUGGUAGGGAACCUAAAAUACACAGUUUCUACUCUGUCUCUUUUCUCUUGGUUAUGGUAUCAGAGGAAAUACACGUAUUUUCUUAGCUUCAGACAACCAAAAAAGAUGAUGCUGUAAGGAGAUGGGAAAUCUAAUUUGGAAUACAGUGUGCAAAUCUUAUUUUCAAGCAGAUUUUGAAAAUAAAACUCAAUUCUUAUGUUAGAGGAUUAUCUGCUUAAUACAAUUAUAGGGUACCAGUUUAAGUCACAUCAGAGGUUAAAUAAGAUUGCAGAUUAACGGGGUCGUGUUUGAAUGUUCUGAUACUUACAGAUGAGGUGGGAAGGAGGAACGCAUGCUCUUCUCAAAUAAGACACAUAGAAGAGUCGCCCUGGCCCAGGUUGGAACUCACCUCGGUGUAGCAGCUGGAGCUUCAUUCCACAGGCAGAUAGGGUGCUUGUGUCCUGAUGAAGUAAGAGGAUGUAUCUGGAAACACGUUGUGUACUGUGAAAUACUAUACAAAUGCAGGGCAGUAUGAAUGUAAAUAUUAAUGUAUUUUAAUGAUAAUUUUGGCUAUUUUAUUUCAUCAUGUAUAAUAACUUACGGUGACUGGUGUGAAGUUAAAUAGAAUUAACCUAGAAUUAAUGAGUUUUGUAUUGCUCUCACCUAUUUGAAGCAUCAGCUGUGACUUCCAUGUUGCUUUGCGCAGCACUGUGUAACCUCCUUUGUGCCUUUCCCAUGGAGCACUGUGUCGUAUCACAAGUAGAACUGCAAGAAGACAUUUCUCCUCAGGGCAGAGGCUGGGUCUUCCGAUUGAAUCUCCCUUCUUUCUUCAUUGAGAGCCUCUUCUUCUGGAAGCUGGUUUCACAUGGUGGCUUAGAUUUUUCCAUCUUUGUAUCUAGCACCAUUUGAAAUCAGUGUUUUAGGAGUAAGAAUUGCAGCACAGCCAAGGGUGGACUGCAGAGGAACUGCUGCUCAUGGGACUGGCUCCUCUCCUCCUGCCACUUGAGUCUGUUCGAGAAGUCCAGGGAAGAACUUGAAGAGCAAAAUACACUCUUGAGUUUGUUGGGUUUUGGGAGAAGUGACAGUAGGGAAGGGGGUUGUGUUUAAAAUAAAUACAGUGGCUUGAGCAGGGACAGAGGGCGUGAUGCUAUUUCUGUUGACUUCUCGCAGCCGUUACCAGCAUGAAUGUGUUGGUAGGGCCUUUGAGUGUGGCAGUUGUCAUACUCUGUUGGAUAACAGUGUAUUGGGUAUUGGUUGUCAUGGGGCAGGGGAGAGGGCAGUACACCUGGAGGACCAUUUUGUCCACAUCAGCACCGUCAGUCUGCUCUUAGAGGAUGCCCUGGAGUAUUCAGCGUCAGUUGCGGGGCACCCGAAAUCAGACUUGCCACCUGGACUGUCGAGGUGCAGACCCUGGGAGCACCACUGGCCCAUCUCUUACACAGGCUGACCGAUUUCUCCUGGUGUUCAGAGUCUGUUUUUGUCUAGCACCAUUUGAAAUCGGUUAUGAUGUAGGGGGAAAAGCAGCAGCCUCGAAGUCUCAUGCCAAGUCUGGGCGGCAGCAGCCUGUGGUUUCCUGGAAGAUGGAUGGGCGGAGAAUGGGGAAGGAAGAUCAUGUUUUUCCCUACUAACUUCUUUAACUGCGUGUAUGAUACGUUAUUGCAGAGGUAAGAGAUAGUUUAAUGGAUUUUAAAAAACAAAUUACUAUAAUUUAUCUAACGUUCUCAGUUCCAUUUUGCUGAAAUGUAGUAUUGCUCUAAAUUCUAUAAAUUGAUUGCUGUUGAAUUAUCUUUCUGUUAAGAAGAGUCUAUUCAUGCAUCCUGACCUUAAUAAAUACUAUGUCCAGUUGAUCA